UUAACUUCACUCAGGAGCAGCAAUUUUUUAUAUAAUAAAGAAAAUACUGACGAUUUAAUUUUUAAAGGUGAAAAAUAUCAACAUCUUUCUGGAUCGUAUGGAAAUAAUAGAGGACCUUACGAAGAUAGUAACAACGAUGAACCUGAUGAAUGGCUCAACGAGGACAAAGAAUCUACUGUAGAUAAAAAGCUUCUUGAAUAACAGUCUAAAGCUGAAGGAACACGCAAUACUGAAAAUAAAGAUUCUCAUUUACAAGAUGACUUCAUGGACUAUGACCAUAUUUCAUCGAACCCAAACACUUACUUAAGACGAGAAGAGAGGACCUCGAAGCAAAUUCAUAAUCAGUGCCCUCCAGAAUGUAAUUUUUGUGCAUCUGUCGCAGUACGUGAAUUGAAGAACGUCCUCACAAUUCUUCAAGAUAAACUUA